AAUCAGAAAUCCACUCAUACUAGCUUAAGCCCAGAAGCAAGUAUCCUGGGGGCAGACGUGGGGUGAGUGUACCCCUAGAAGUUUCUUAACCUGGUUUACAUUUUUUAAAAAUUAUAUUAUUAUUAAAUAAUUUUAUUAAAUUAUUAAUAUAAUGAUCACUACUUCAUUAAUUAAGGACAUAGGAUUUGUAAAAUUGAGGUCAUUAAUUAUGACUUUAUGUUUCUGUUUGUAAGAAAGAAAAAAGUUCAACUGUAACCUGUGAAGCAAUAAAACAAAAAAAAAAUAAAAAGAUUUGUGUUGGAUUAUGCUUUAGGCUUGAGAGUUUUAGGUAACAGGCAGAGUAGAAUUGUGAAAAUGGAAACUGUUAUAAAGCAAAUGGAAAAGCAGGUAGGCAUCUUGCUUUGAACAAGUAAGGCGACUGCCUCACAAUCAGCCAUCUGGGAAAUGUCUUAAUCUCCCCCCCACCCCCAACCUUUUAAAACUACUCUAUUGAGGUAUAACAGAUGUAAAGUAUACACAAUUAAAGUUUAAAGUUUGAUAGAAUUUGAUAUAUGUGUGUACCUGUGAAACAGUAACCACUUUGUAAUCCUUCCCUCCUGGCCUUCCUCACACCCCAUCUUGCAGCUACCACUAAUCUGCUUUAUGUCACUAUAGAUUAGUUUACAUUUACUAGAGUUUUAUAUAAAUACAAUUAUACAGUAUGUAAUCUUUGUCUGGUUUCCUUUACUCACUAUAAUUAUUUUGAGAUUCACCCAUGUUGUUCUGUGUAUCAGUACUUCAUUUCUUUUUAUUGCUGAAUAGAGUUCCAUUGUAUGGAUAUACCACAAUUUGUCUAUCCAUUCACCUGUUGAUGGACAAUUGUUUCUUUUUCUUAUAGAUGUACAUGUUUUGGGGUUGGGAUCUAUUUUCUCAGCUAAAUCUGGGGCGAGGACCUGACAUUCUAUUUCUGGAUUACUUGCAGAGUGCUGAAUGUUGAAGAAAAGCUUAUCAAGGAAUGAAAUUUCAAAUGGAAUAUAGAGGAAGAUACACAAAAAUUUAUCAAAAAUGGGAUAUUGAAGUGUUGCUGGUGGAAUUGAUGCUGACCACCUAUCCCAACAACCUCAAAGCAUGUAAUUUGUUCUAUCUGCUAGUAAGACAUCUUGCAUAAAGUUUCAGCAAUUUAAAAGAUUGUCUCCAAUUACCCUCUGUGAUUUAAUAAUUUAUCUGCCUUUUAAUGUCUCUUAGAUGCAAAAAGUUAUUUCUAUUGAUUCUCAGAUUGUAAAAUAAAUAUGAAUAUUUUGACACUUCUUACUACACAAUUUUUGGUGGGAGAGAACAACAGGUCACUUGCAUUUUUGCCUUUAGUGCCCCUUUAGGAGAGGUAGAAAGUAUGGUUUCUUCUGAAUUCACGGGAAGGAAAGGUUAGGAGACUUGGGUAUGAGUCUGUGAAAAAGUGAGCAGAAAUGUCUAUGGUUCUAUUCUUCUGGGUCCAGUCGCUAUUACAUUUCUCAGAAUAAUAGUUUGAUAUUGGUUUCCCCAUACUCCUAUUAAACUUGAAAAUUUUAUUUAAAUUUUUGUAUGGAAAUAUCUUCUGUAGAAUGUGAUUGUUCUCAUGAAUACUUUUCUUCCACACCAAAUACCUGCC
rnacentral:lncRNA from 1 species